rnacentral:lncRNA from 1 species
UUUCCUUUCUGAGUGUAGAGCCAAGUGGACUGUUUUGUUUGGGGCGUGUGACCUGAAGCUCGCUCCACAUUGAUUUUAUCCGCUAUUGAUCACAGUUUAUUAUUUACGUUUAAAAAUACCUGAAGUUGGAUUAGGAAGGUUGUUUAAAAUGUUUGGGCCAAGUUUACAGGGAUAUAACGACAGAAUUUAUUGAACAAAAGGACCAUGUGUGAUGUUUAAUGGACAUAUUGGAGUGCCAACAGAAGAUCUUCAAAGGCCUCCAGUGCAUUGUUCCCUCCAGUGAGGCCUGGGGCAGGAGUACAGAGCCAGGAUCUGUAUUUGGAGUGUGGCUGCGAGAUCAAGGCCCCUGGGGGUUAAGGGGUGGGGGAGGUGGAUGAGAAUGGGAGGAUGGGGUGAUGACAGGAGAAGAGAGAGAGUGGGAACAGCGGC